UACAGAGGUCCCAAGCGUUGUUCGGAUUCAUUGGGCGUAAAGGGUGCGUAGGUGGCGCCGUAAGUCGGGUGUGAAAUUUCGGAGCUUAACUCCGAGACUGCAUUCGAUACUGCGGUGCUUGAGGACUGGAGAGGAGACUGGAAUUCAUGGUAUAGCAGUGAAAUGCGUAGAGAUCAUGAGGAAGACCAGUGGCGAAGGCGGGUCUCUGGACAGUUCCUGACACUGAGGCACGAAGGCCAGGGGAGCAAACGGG
rnacentral:rRNA from 1 species